GAUGAACGCUAGCGGGAGGCCUAAUACAUGCAAGUCGAGCGGUAACUUUCUUCGGGAAGCUAGAGCGGCGCACGGGUGAGUAACGCGUACAUGACCUGCCUUUAAGACCGGGAUAGCCCUGGGAAACUGGGAUUAAUACCGGAUGUGAUAAUAGAUAUAAAGAUUUAUUAUUAAAGUUACGGCGCUUAGAGAUGGAUGUGCGUCUGAUUAGCUAGUUGGUAGGGUAACGGCCUACCAAGGCUACGAUCAGUAGGGGGCGUGAGAGCGUGGCCCCCCACACGGGUACUGAGACACGGACCCGACUCCUACGGGAGGCAGCAGUAAGGAAUAUUGGGCAAUGGAGGCAACUCUGACCCAGCCAUCCCGCGUGAAGGAUUAAGGCCCUAUGGGUUGUAAACUUCUUUUGUUUGGGAAGAAAUCAGGACAUUUAUGUGCUGUUGACGGUACCUUACGAAUAAGCACCGGCUAACUCCGUGCCAGCAGCCGCGGUAAU
rnacentral:rRNA from 1 species